rnacentral:misc_RNA from 1 species
CGCACAUUGCGCCCGCCAGUAUUCUGGCGGGCAUGCCUGUUCGAGCGUCAUUUCAACCCCUCAAGCCCGGCUUGGUGUUGGGGCCCCUACGUGCGCCGUAGGCCCCGAAUUCCAGUGGCGGGCUCGCCGCGAUCCCGAGCGUAGUAGUGCUACCUCGCUCAGGGCGCGCGGCGGGCGCCGGCCGUGAAAGAAACCACUUUUACCCACAAGGUUGACCUCGGAUCAGGUAGGAAUACCCGCUGAACUUAA